rnacentral:rRNA from 1 species
GAUGAACGCUAGCGGAGGGCCUAAUACAUGCAAGUCGAGCGGUAGUUGACUUCGGUUGAUGAGAGCGGCGCACGGGUGAGUAACACGUACAUGACCUGCCUAUCAGAAGUGGAUAGCCCUGGGAAACUGGGAUUAAUACGCUAUGGUACUAUUGUGGUAAAGGAUAAUAGUUAAAGUUGAGGCGCUGAUAGAUGGAUGUGCGUCUGAUUAGCUAGUUGGUGGGGUAACGGCCUACCAAGGCGACGAUCAGUAGGGGGCGUGAGAGCGUGAUCCCCCACACGGGUACUGAGACACGGACCCGACUCCUACGGGAGGCAGCAGUAAGGAAUAUUGGUCAAUGCCCGGAAGGGUGAACCAGCCACUCCGCGUGGAGGAUGAAGGCCCUAUGGGUUGUAAACUUCUUUUAGAUGGGAAUAAAAUGACUGAUUUAUUGGUUACUGAAGGUACCAUCAGAAUAAGCACCGGCUAACUCCGUGCCAGCCGCCGCGGUAAAAC